AGAGUUUGAUCAUGGCUCAGGACGAACGCUGGCGGCGUGCUUAACACAUGCAAGUCGAACGGAAAGGCCCGCUUGCGGGUACUCGAGUGGCGAACGGGUGAGUAACACGUGGGCAACCUGCCCUCAGCUCUGGGAUAACUCCGGGAAACCGGUGCUAAUACUGGAUAUUGACUUCUGCUCGCAUGGGUGGUUGUUGAAAGUUUUUCGGCUGGGGAUGGGCCCGCGGCCUAUCAGCUUGUUGGUGGGGUGAUGGCCUACCAAGGCGACGACGGGUAGCCGGCCUGAGAGGGCGACCGGCCACACUGGGACUGAGACACGGCCCAGACUCCUACGAGAGGCAGCAGUGGGGAAUAUUGCGCAAUGGGCGGAAGCCUGACGCAGCGACGCCGCGUGAGGGAUGACGGCCUUCGGGUUGUAAACCUCUUUCAGCUCUGACGAAGCGUGAGUGACGGUAGGAGCAGAAGAAGCACCGGCCAACUACGUGCCAGCAGCCGCGGUAAUACGUAGGGUGCAAGCGUUGUCCGGAAUUAUUGGGCGUAAAGAGCUCGUAGGCGGUUUGUCGCGUCGAAUGUGAAAUCCCGGGGCUCAACCCCGGGUCUGCAUUCGAUACGGGCAGACUAGAGUUCGGUAGGGGAGUCUGGAAUUCCUGGUGCAGCGGUGAAAUGCGCGAUAUCAGGAGGAACACCGGUGGCGAAGGCGGGACUCUGGGCCGAUACUGACGCUGAGGAGCGAAAGCGUGGGGAGCGAACAGGAUUAGAUACCCUAGUAGUCC
rnacentral:rRNA from 1 species